AUCUAAUGGCUCCCAUUUUGUAGCAAUUCGGUCACUAUUGCUCAAUUUCGAAGUAGUAGCUAGAACAAAAAACAAAUAGUAAUUCACAUAACAUUUGGUUGGCAUGGUAGAGAGGACAGAUGGCAAUAUCGUAGAGAGAUCGAAUACACAGAAGAGAAAGCACCGGACCGUCUUCCUAACCCGGCCAUAUAAACCUAACCAUAUAUAAAAGCCCCUCACACUCUUCGGACCCAAUCCCCUCACACCGCCUCCGCCGAACUCUUCCAUCGAAGCUCACCGAGCGUUUCAAGGUUCAGACUGUAUUGAAGAGUGAACAUGAUGGCCACCACACCCAAAAACCUCGAGGAACUGAAGCAAUCAACAGAUCUCAAGCUUAAGAAGGCUUGCCUGAGAAAUGUGUUUGAAAGCGUUGUUUGUAGAAUGUCCGACCUAGGCAUCGACAGUGGAUCGUUGGAUCCCAAACUCAUCGAAAUUGUGGACGGGAGAGCCUAUCUGCCCGAGGACGUGGUUGAAGCAGGAGGCGCACUGCCACUCUACCUUCCCGCGCUGAAGAACCUUGUGAUCGAUGUGCACGCCCGAGACCAUGAACUGAUGAGUCCAAGGGAGCGGUUGCAGUACGAUGAUUUUAAGCUCUACUUGGGUAGACUCAUCACUGUGAGACAUCUGGAAAUGAUAUGUGUACAUCCACAUUUUCAUACAGCAGCAGAAGAACUAUAGUUUAUACCAAGAGCGCGCAUGAGGUUAUUCGCCAUUCCUGAAAAUCCGAAUCACAAGCCCAAACAUCCAAAUGAAAAUAGGAAGCGCCACUUCCCAAAAGUGAUCGACGACCAUCAAGUUAAUCCAUCUCAAGCAGCAACAGAUCCAAAUUUAAUGAAAUGGGAGAAAGCUUAUGAUGUGAUGGUGAAGGAGACAAGGCAAGUGAACAUUAAGCAAUCCAUUUCAGGACUUGCCACUGAGUUUCAUCAAAUUCACAAAGAUGGAAUGAUGCGCAAAACAAAAACAGCUGAAGGAUAUCAAGAUAAGGAUGCUGCUGAUGAGGUGCAUUACUUUUGCAAUACAAUGAAGCACAUUUGGAAAAAGUUUCCCCAGGGUUUAGUAAGUUACUAACUAAAGCUAAAUUUUCUAAACAUAUAUGUUGAAAACAUUUGAUAAUUUUGUUUUUGUUUGUUUAAAAAGAAAACUUAUGAUAAAGCUAAACAUAACCUUGAAGCUACACUUGCCGCAUUGCAUCGCAUGUCGCCAACAAUUCCGACAUAAAUGUUUUGAUUUUUCUGGCGCUAUGAUGGAUACGCUUCAGGAAUCAUUUCUCUUAACUUUUUCAAGGACAGCAGGUAGUAAUAAAGAUUUCUUUUGAGGAGGGCGACCUUGUGUUUGGGGAGACUAGUGAAGAAGACUAAUGGUUAUCAGUUUCAAUAGAAGCUAAAUGUUUGAAUCAUACGUAACUGUUAUGAUUCAGUUCAUCUGUUAUGACUUUCUCCUUCCGUUUAUAUUCCUGUUCCACUCUAAAAGUGUUGGUAUUAAUCGGAAUGUGUUUCCUUAAUCUGUUUGCCUGCCCAGUAUAUCAGACUACAGGCUUAGAGACAACUAGAUUUAUGUAUCCGUAUGGAUUUUAUAUUGCAAGACUUUUAUUUGGAGACUUUUAUUUUUUAUAAUUUUGUAUGACUAAUUGGCAUUGGUAUUGUUCUAUAUUUUGUUUGCUAAAAAUAUCAUUAGAGUUACUCAGAAGUUGAACCUAGAUUUCUCCAAUUUCUAGGAAGUAACAGACAUUGAAACUAUUUGAAGUUACCCACAAUUCCCUGAGAAGUUGAGGCCACCUUCGGUCGAAACAAAGGGCAAGAGAUCAACCUCUUGGCCCAGCAAUAGAAGCUAAUGAGUAGUAAAACAACACCCCAUUGAGUCAUUUGCAAACGGGAAAUUUUGCAAUACAUUUAGGCUGCCCAACUUCUGCAACAAUUGAAUCGAGAAUAGGAUACUAAAAAAAAACUAAUAGAAGAAUCAAGCAGAAUUUAGCCCCAAAAGAAAAACAAUCAAUCAAGCAAAAAAAAUCUGAUUGAAAUUUACCUAAGCAUAUCUAUUAUGUUUAAGUUUAACGUGUUGAGUGUUAAGGAAACGAUAGAAAUAUUAAAGGAUUGGUCUGAUGAACCGAUAUUUGAGAGUUUAGAUAAAGAAAACAAUACCUUGUAACUUAUGUAAGCCAAUUUGAAUCGUAACAAUCCGGUUAGUAGAGGAUCUGAAACAGAAGGCAGACAGAAGAUGCAUAUAUUGGAAGAAAGGGUUUAGAUACGAUACACGUAUUUAUAUGAACCAUUGAUCUGAUUCAAGAGUAAUGAAUACCAAUCGAUUACAUAUUAUA